rnacentral:rRNA from 1 species
CUACGGGUCGCUGCAGUGGGGAAUAUUGCACAAUGGAGGAAACUCUGAUGCAGCAACGCCGCGUGGAGGAUGACACUUUUCGGAGCGUAAACUCCUUUUAUAUAGGAAGAAGAUGACGGUACUAUAUGAAUAAGCGCCGGCUAACUCCGUGCCAGCAGCCGCGGUAAUACGGAGGGCGCAAGCGUUACGCGGAAUCACUGGGCGUAAAGAGCGUGUAGGCGGAUUAAAAAGUCAGAAGUGAAAUCCUAUAGCUUAACUAUAGAACUGCUUCUGAAACUCUUAAUCUAGAAUAUGGGAGAGGUAGAUGGAAUUUCUGGUGUAGGGGUAAAAUCUGUAGAGAUCAGAAGGAAUACCGAUUGCGAAGGCGAUCUACUAGAACAUUAUUGACGCUGAGACGCGAAAGCGUGGGGAGCAAACAGGAUUAGAUACCCCCGUAGUC